CAGCCGCCGCGGUAAUACGGAAGGUCCAGGCGUUAUCCGGAUUUAUUGGGUUUAAAGGGAGUGUAGGCGGUCUGUUAAGCGUGUUGUGAAAUUUAGGUGCUCAACAUCUAACUUGCAGCGCGAACUGGCGGACUUGAGUGCACGCAACGUAUGCGGAAUUCAUGGUGUAGCGGUGAAAUGCUUAGAUAUCAUGACGAACUCCGAUUGCGAAGGCAGCGUACGGGAGUGUUACUGACGCUUAAGCUCGAAGGUGCGGGUAUCGAACAGGAUUAGAUACCCCCGUAGUCCCUGUCUCUUAUAC
rnacentral:rRNA from 1 species